rnacentral:sRNA from 1 species
UCACUGUUAUUUAAGGAAGCGAAGACAACGAACACGUAAGAAAUUCUC